AUACGUAGGGGGCGAGCGUUGUCCGGAAUGAUUGGGCGUAAAGGGCGCGUAGGCGGCCUGUUAAGUCUGGAGUGAAAGCCCUGUUUUCAAGAGGGGAAUUGCUUUGGAUACUGAUGGGCUUGAGUGCGGGAGAGGUUAUCGGAAUUCCCGGUGUAGCGGUGAAAUGCGUAGAGAUCGGGAGGAACACCAGUGGCGAAGGCGGGUAACUGGACUGCAACUGACGCUGAGGCGCGAAAGUGUGGGGAGCAAACAGGAUUAGAUACCCUGGUAGUCCACACUGUAAACGAUGAAUGCUAGGUGUAAGAGGUAUCGACCCCUUUUGUGCCGGAGUUAACACAAUAAGCAUUCCGCCUGGGGAGUACGGCCGCAAAGUGGAAACUCAAAGGAAUUGACGGGG
rnacentral:rRNA from 1 species